rnacentral:rRNA from 1 species
AUGAUCAUUCCCCUGGAAGAGCUAGAGAAGGCAACAAACAAUUUUGAUCAGACUCGUAAGCUUGGAGAUGGUGGCCAUGGUGUUGUCUACAAAGAUAUUUUAUCAGACUUACAUGUCGUGGCCAUCAAGAAGUCGAACAUUAUGGUUCAGAGAGAAAUUGACGAGUUCCUAAAUGAGGUUGCCAUCCUUUCACACAUCAACCAUAAGAAUAUUGUCAAGCUUUAUUGAUGUUGUCUAGAGAUAGAAGUCCCUUUGCUUGCCUACGAGUUCAUUUCCAAUGGAACCCUUAGUGACCACCUUCAUCGAGAACCGCCAAGAUCGAUACCAUGGGAAGCCAGACUGAAGAUUGCAAGUGAAGUAGGCAAAGCUAUCUCUUACCUGCACUCAGCUGUAACAUUUCCAAUAAUACAUAGAGAUAUUAAAUCUUCCAACAUACUGCUAGAUGAUGCCUUCACAUCAAAGGUCUCUGACUUUGGUACUUCAAGGUACAUACCAGUUGAUCAGACAGAGGUAACAGCAACUGCAGUGCAAGGGACUCGAGGAUAUUUAGAUCCUAUGUACUAUUACACAGGACGACUAUCAGAAAAGAGUGAUGUCUAUAGCUUUGGAGUGCUUCUUAUUGAACUGCUCACUAGAAAGAGGCCAAACAUGUAUCUAUCCUCCGAAGGAGAAGGUCUGGUUCUCAAAUUUGGUGAACUACAUGCUGAAGGCAAUCUAAGUUAAAUAGUAGAUCCACAAGUGGCGGAGGAAGCAGGUGGUGAGGUGCAAGAAGUGGCUGAUGUAGCCGUGUCAUGCAUUAAAAUGAGAGGAGAAGAGAGGCCAACCAUGAGGCAAGUGGAGAUGGCACUCGAAGGCCUCCAAGUAACCAAUAAUGAGAGUGCCACAUAUGACCUGCGAGUGCAACGAAAUGGGAGAACUGUGCUGCAGCGAGUUAUCCAUCAACUAGCUAGAAGAACUACAAGCUUGGAGGAAGGUAGCAGAAGUUACAGUCAAGAAGAAGAGUUCAUAUUGUCUGCGACAUACCCUCGUUAA